rnacentral:rRNA from 1 species
AACAACUCACCUGCCGAAUGAAUUAGCCCUGAAAAUGGAUGGCGCUCAAGCGGGCAGCCGACACUACACCAUCUAAGCUAGCUAUGUCUUAGAUGAGUAGGAGGAACGUGGCGGUUGUGUAGAAGCAUAUCCGCAAGGGUGUGUGGAACGGCCGCUAGUGCAGAUCUUGGUGGUAGUAGCAAAUAUUCACAUGAGAUCCUUGAAGGACCAAGCGGGGAAGGGUUCCACGCGAACAUUGAUUGAGCGUGGGUUAGUCGGUCCUGAGCCAACUGGCAAUUUCUUAGCCAACGGCGAAAGGGAAGCAGGUAAAGAUUCCUGCACUUGAGCAACGAUGUUUACACACUUCCUAGAUCCAAGCUGUCCCAGAGACGCUGCGGUUGUAGUCCCCUUGCAGAGAUCUCUUUUCUGUUUGACGCCACUCCGAUCCUGAAACACAUUCGCUGUGAGUAGGGAUUGAUCAGAAAGUGGUAGAGCAUUGGAUAUAUUUCCUAUGUUAGGGUUGAUUCCUGCAGACCUUGAAAAUCCGGGCGCACCUGAGUUCCGUUCCUCGGUUCCAGGGGAUCUUGUAUCAUUUAUCUCAAACCGUACCCAUGACCGCAUCAGGUCCCCAAGGUGAACAGCCUCUGUCCAAUAUGAAUAAU